UCCUCAGUAGCUCAGUUGGUCAGAGCGGCGGACUGUUAAUCCGUAGGUCGCUGGUUCGAGCCCAGCCUGGGGAG
rnacentral:tRNA from 2 species